CCACAUUUUCCUUCUCCAGUCUAUGAAGAUGGGCAUUUGGGUUCAUUCCAGGUCUUUGCUAUUGUAAACAGUGACACAAUGAACAUACGUGUGCAUGUGUCUUUAUAAUAGAACUAUUUAUAAUCCUUUGGCUACAUAACCAGUAAUGGAAUUGCUGGGUCAAAUAAAAUUUCUCUGUCUAGGUCCUUGAGGAAUCGCCACCCUUUCUUCCACAAUGGUUAACUAAUUUACACUCCCACCAGCAGCUAGCUUUUUAGUUUUUUUUUGUUUUUUUUUUUUUGAUCUUGCUCCUCUAACUCUUUCAAUUUUGAUGAUAGGGUGUUGAUUUUAGAUCUUUUCUUCCUUCUCAUGUGGGAAUUUAUUGCUAUAAAUUUCCCUCUAGACACUGCUUUAAAUGUGUCCCAGAGAUUCUGGUAUGUUGUAUCCUUGUUCUCGUUGGUUUCAAAGAACAUCAGUUUUUCUGCCUUCAUUUCAUUGUUUAUCCAGUCAACAUUCAAGAGCCAGUUGUUCAGUUUCCAUAAAGUUGUGCUGUUCUGAGUUGGUUUCUUAAUUCUGAGUUCUAAUUUGAUUAAACUGUGGUCUGAGAGACUGUUUGUUAUGAUUUCCAUUCUUUUGCAUUUGCUGAGGAGUGAUUUACUUCUAAUUAUGUGGUCAAUUUUACAGUAGGUGUGAUGCAUGCUGAGAAGAAUGUAUAUUCUGUGGAUUUGGGGUGAAGAGUUCUAUAGAUGUCUAUUAGGUUUGCUUGGUCCAGAUCCGAGUUCAAGUCCUGGAUAUCUUUGUUAAUUUUUUGUCUCAUUGAUCUGUCUAAUAUGGACAGUGGAGUGUUAAAGUCUCCCAGUGUUAUUGUGUGGGAGUCUAAGUCUCUUUGUAAGUCUUUAAGAACUUGCUUUAUGUAUCUGGGUACUCCUGUAUUGGGUGCAUAUAUAUUUAGGAUAGUUAGAUCUUCUUUAAUUGAAUGCUUUCCAUUAUGUAAUGCCCUUCUUUGUGUUUUUUGACCUUUGUUGGUUUAAAGACUGUUUUUUCUGAAACUACUACUGCAAUCCUGGUUUCUGUUUUUGAUUUGCUUGGUAGAUUUUCCUCUAUUCCUUUUUUUGAGCCUAUGUGUGUCAUUGCAUGUGAGAUGGGUCUCUUGAAGACAGCAUGUCAAUUGGUCUUGGUUCUCUAUUCUGUUUGCCACUCAAUGUCUUUUAAUUGGGACAUUUAGUCCAUUUACUUUUGAUGUUAAUAUUGAUAUAGGUGGAUUUGAUUCUGUUAUGAUGAAGUUAGCUGGUUAUUUUGCAGACUUCAUUAUCUGGUUACUUUAUAGUGUCACUAGUUUGUGUAUUUUGGUGUGUUUUUGUGGUGGCCAGUAAUGGUCUUUCCUAUCCAUAUUUAGUGUUUCCUUCAGGACCUCUUGUAAAGCAGAUUUGGUGGUGGUAAGGAAUCUGUUCAGCAUUUGCUUGUCUGAAAAGGAUUUUAUUUAUCCUUCACUUAUGAAGCUUAGUUUGGCUAGACAUGAAAUUCUGAGUUGAAAUUUAUUUUAAGAAUGUUGAAUACUGGCUCCCAAUCUCUUCUGGCUAAUAGGGUGUCUGCUGAGAGGUUCACUGUUAGUCUAAUGGGCUUCCCUUUUAAGUGACUUGACCUUUUCUCUAGCUGCUGUUAACAUUUUUUCUUCAUUUUGACCUCAGAGAACCUGAUGUCUUGGGGAUAAUCUUGUGAAGUAUCUUACGGGGUUCUCUGUAUUUCCUAAAUUUGAAUGUUGGCCUCUCUCUCUAGGUUGGGGAAGUUCUCAUGGAUGAUAUCCUGAAAUUUGUUUUCUAAGUUGGUUCCAUUCUCCACAUCUCUUUCAGGGACAUCAAUAAUUUGUUGAUUUAGCCUCUUUACAUAAUCUCAUAUUACUUCCAGGUUUUGUUCAUUUCUUUUUAGACUUUAUUUUCUAUUUUUGUCUGACUGUCAUAUUUCAGAAAGCCAGUCUUCAGGCUCUGAGAUUCUUUCCACUGCUUGGUUUAUUCUACUAUUAAUCCUUGUGAUUGCAUUAUGAAAUUCUUAUUAUGUGUUUUUGAGCUUUAUCAGGUCAGUUACAUUCUCUUCCAUACUGGUUAUUUUAUCUGUCAGCUCCUGCAUUGUUUUAGCAUAAUUCUUAGCUUCCUUGGAUUGGGUUUCAAUGUACUCCUAUAGCUCAAUGAUCUUUAUUCUUAUCUAUAUUCUGAAUUAUGUUUUUGUCAUUUCAACCAUCUCAGCUCAGUUUAGAACCCUUGCCAGAGAAGUAAUGCAACCAUUUGGAGGAAAUGAGGCACUCUGUGUUUUUGAGUUGUCGGGGUUCUUGCAUUGGUUCUUUCUUAUUUCUGUAGGCUUGUGUUAAUUCAGUCUUUGAGAUUACUGACCUCUGGAUGGUUUUUUUUUUCCUUAUAUCCUAUUUGAAGACCUCCAGGGUUUAACUGUAGUCUAAGGUGGAUUCAGCUAACUGGCUUCAUUUCUGGAAGAUUUUAGGGGAUUUACACUCAGCUCCCAACUCUUUGACUGCAUGCUCUCUUUGAGGGAAUUGUACUGGACCCCAACAUUGUUCAGUGGUCCCUCAAGGUUAGGAAUCCACUGUCCUAGAGAGGUGAAGGUGCGCUCAGGUUGCUGGUCACAGCAAUCUGACCAGCAAUCUGAGAGCAGCUUGAGUGCUCCUCAGAGACCACCCUUUUUCCAUGGUAGUCUCAGCUAAAGCAUUUUGUAGUGCAGUGACAGCAGUAUCUGUCCUCCUUUGCAUGUGCCAGCAUCAACAGUAGUGGUCAAGCAGCAGGGUGCUAGGGUAUGUCAGGGUGCCUGCUUUCCUGUGGGCACUCACCACAGUGGAAGAGGUAAUGCAGCUGGGGUGUGGGUGGGAGUCCCUGCUAGUGACUGUGUGCACAGUGGUGCUGGUGUUGGUGUUGGCUCAGGUACGGGAUGCUGGUGGGCACAAGUCUGUGUGCCUUCUAUGUGUCCCACAAGCAGAACUGGUAACUCAGGGCAGGGGAAGACCCACUGUUCUCUGUGCCUAGUUUCACUCCCAUAUCAGUGUUAGCACAAGGGCAGGGUGCUGGUACAGACAAGGUUGGCUGCCUCUGUGCCCACUAAGUCUCCAUCUGCAAUGGCAGUCUGCAAGGGGACAGGGAACAGACUGCACUUCUGCUGCUGAUGGCAAAAUAAGCAAAACCUACUUGUGCAGACAUGUACCAGCAAAGCAAUAUGGCUAGUUGCCAUGGGCCCUGCAGAAGCCUCAGUGUGGGGAGGGACCAUGGGGGCUGCCCCACUGGCACACUCUGCCAGUUACCCAUGGUGUGCCAGCACAGUAGCUAUAAUGUGGGCCCUUCCACUAGGCAUCCAGGGUUGCCCUGUAAGCAAGAGUGGCCCAGCUGGGGCGCCAAGAUAGGUAGCAGAACAAGAACAAGCAGACUGGCCCAUCCAAUGGGUUAGACUGCCCUUCAGAGUUCAGGACCAAUAGUUCCUCUAGGGCUAAAGUUUCCUAUGGGAGCAAGUCGAACUUAGGGAGAUGGCCAUCCCUAGCCAUGCUCCACUACAGCUGCUUCCACAUCAAACCCACUGGACUCCACACCAGCUGGUUUGCUGCUGCUACCACUUCUCCAACUAGCUCUCUCUGCCACCUUGAAUGUCCAUGGUGGUCAAGCAGUCUCCUGCCAGGAUUCCAGAGGCUCACGACAAGAGAAGGUUGCUGCUUGUCAGUUCAACUCAUUCAUUUUCCAGGAGCCAUUGGGAACCAGGAAUGAGUUCAGGUGCACAGUAGCCCAUGUAGGCUUCCCAGCUGCCUUUCCCUUCUGACCAGCUUCUGUGUCGUCCCUUCAUCCACUCUGAGUAUCUGUUGGGAGUACUCAGGUCAUCCUGUCCCUCACUGUCAGGGUCAGCCAUCAUUUCCCAGCUUCUGGAUGUACUCCCAGCAGCCCCUCAAGUAUCUCUCAGUACCUGCAGGUCAUAGGAGUACAAAGGCUAUGGCAGAGUCACAUGAGCCUCAUGGAGCAGAGGACAUAGAACAAUAAAGACAGGAACAAAGCUAGGUGUGUAGGCACCAGGAGACCAAAAAAGUGUUUGUUUUUUUUUUAAUUUAAAUUGUAUUUAUUCCUGCUCUAAUCUUUAUUAUUUCUUUCUGUCUAUUAAUUCUAGGUUUUGUUUGCUCUUGCUUUUCUAGGCUCCUUGAGAUGCAUAGUUACGUUGCUAAUUUGAAGUUUUUCCACUUUUUUGAUGUAGGUGCUUAUUGCAGGACACUUUCUUCUUAAUAAUGCUUCCACUGUAUGUUGUAGGUUUUGAUAUGUUGUGUUUCCAUUUUCAUCUGUUUUAAGAAAUUUUUUAAUUUCCUUCCUAAUUUAUUCGUUGACCCACCAGUCAUUCAGAAACAUAUUUUUAAUUUCCAAGUCUUUGCAUAGUUUCCAAAGUUCCUCUUGUUACUGAUUUCCAGUUGUAUUCCACUGUGAUCAGAGAAAACACUUGAUAGAAUUUUAUUUUUUGACUUUUUAAAAAUUUGCUUUGUGGCCUAACAUGUGAUCUAUCCUUGAAAAUAUUCCAUAUGCUGAGGCAAAUAAUGUAUAUUCUGCAGGCACUGGAUGAAAUGUUCUGUAAAUACCUAUUAGGUCCAUUUGAUCUAUUGUGCAGAUUAAGUCCUAUGUUUCUUUGUUGAUUUUUCUAUCUGAAUAAUUUGUCCAAUGCUGAGAGUAGACUGUUGAAGUCUCCAUCUAUUAUUGUAUCAGGGUCUAUCUCUCUCUAUAGUUCUCAUGAUAUUCCCCUUAUAUAUAUACAUGCUCCAGUGCUGGGUGCAUAUAUAUUUACAGUUGUUAUAUCCUCUUGCUGAAUUGACCUAUUUAUCAUUAUAUAAUGACCUUCUUUGUCUCCUUUGAUAGUUUUUGUGUUGGUAUCUGUUUUGUCUGAUAUAAACAUAGCUACUUCAGCUCUUUUUUGGUUUUCACUGUCAUGAAAUAGCUUUCUGUAUCCCUUUAUUUUCAGUGUAUACAUGUCUUUAUUUAUUUAUUUAUUUUUUUUUCAUUGCAUUUUAGGUUUUGGGGUACAUGUGCAGAACCUGCAAAAUAGUUGCAUAGGUACACACAUGGCA
ensembl:lncRNA